rnacentral:rRNA from 1 species
AGUGAACGCUGGCGGUAGGCCUAACACAUGCAAGUCGAACGGCAGCACAGUAAGAGCUUGCUCUUACGGGUGGCGAGUGGCGGACGGGUGAGGAAUACAUCGGAAUCUACUUUUUCGUGGGGGAUAACGUAGGGAAACUUACGCUAAUACCGCAUACGACCUACGGGUGAAAGCAGGGGAUCUUCGGACCUUGCGCGAUUGAAUGAGCCGAUGUCGGAUUAGCUAGUUGGCGGGGUAAAGGCCCACCAAGGCGACGAUCCGUAGCUGGUCUGAGAGGAUGAUCAGCCACACUGGAACUGAGACACGGUCCAGACUCCUACGGGAGGCAGCAGUGGGGAAUAUUGGGCAAUGGGCGCAAGCCUGAUCCAGCAAUACCGCGUGGGUGAAGAAGGCCUUCGGGUUGUAAAGCCCUUUUGUUGGGAAAGAAAAGCAGCAGGUUAAUACCCCGCUGUUCUGACGGUACCCAAAGAAUAAGCACCGGCUAACUUCGUG